rnacentral:rRNA from 1 species
UACGUAGGGUGCGAGCGUUAAUCGGAAUUACUGGGCGUAAAGCGUGCGUAGGCGGUUCGUUAAGUUCGUUGUGAAAGCCCCGGGCUCAACCUGGGAAUGGCAAUGGAAACUGGCGGGCUGGAGUAUGGCAGAGGGGGGUGGAAUUCCGCGUGUAGCAGUGAAAUGCGUAGAGAUGCGGAGGAACACCGAUGGCGAAGGCAAUCCCCUGGGCCUGCACUGACGCUCAUGCACGAAAGCGUGGGGAGCAAACAGG